AUCAAGGAUGUGUGUGGGGGUGUGAGGAAGGUGAUUGAUUCGUCUGAGAAUGAUGGAUGAAUGGCUAGAUAAAUGCAUAUGGGUUUGGUCAGAGAAUGGAUGGAUAGAUCUAGAUGAAUGCACACCAGUUUGUCAGAAUAGAUGGAUAGACAGAUGGAUACAUGCAUGCAGGUUCAGUUAUAGAAUAUGAAUAGAUAAGAGAUAUAUAUACCGGUUGAAGGAUAGGUCAUAAGUUUGAGUUGAUUGAUAAGACGAGUUAGUUCGGUGAAUGAGGAAAGGUGUGUCAACUUGAAUUGAUGAGAUGAAGAACACUCAAAAGAGAUGAAUUGUUGAAGAAUGUAAAAUUGAUAGAUAAGGUUAGUUCGGUGGAUAAGGAAAGGGAUGUUGAUGAAGUUGAUGGGAGGAAUGGAAGAUUACAAGGUUCAUAGGUAAGAUUGUUAACCCGGUAGCAGCGACGGGCUAAAUUUGUGCCAUGAUAUAAACCCACUAAAAUAGAUGAUACACAAACUGAUCACAAAUGCGUUGAUAUAUAUAUUAUGAAAUGGUUUGUGUGAGUGAUGAUUUUUUUCUCAUUUUUCUCGCUUAGAGGGGCCUUUAAGAAACAUGAUCCCCGCUGCUACCAGGUUAAGUCAAGGGGGGUUUACAGUGGGUGUGGGAGGAGGGUGGGGAAGGGUAUUGAUGAAGGUGAACCAGAAAAUAGAUUGAUAGGUAGAUGGAUAGAGAGGAUUGUCAAGUUGGUGAAAAAGGGUUGCAGUGGAUAAAGAAGGGUGAAGAGGAUGGUUAAUGGAUAUGGAUAGAGAAGAUUGUCAAGUUGGCGGAAGAGUGAAGAGGAUGUUUAGUGGAUAGGUAGAUGGAUAGAGAAGAUUAUCAGGUUGGCGGAAGAGCUGUGGAUGAACAAUGAUAGGAGUGUAGGUGGAUGCACAAUUGGGUUAUCAGUGUUGUGUUAAUAGGUUGUACAGCAGGAAGAAAAGGUUUGGGAUUACGAUAGAAGGGAAACAGAUGGAGUAAUGUAUGAUAUCAGGUAGGGAAUGCAUGGGAGAAACAUUGGAGAGGAGAAAAAAGGGAAGAGCAAGGAGAAGGUUUGGGAUUACUGUAGAAGGGCAACAGUCCAGAAUUGGUGUAUGAUGUCACCUUGGCUCAUUGAUUUGUUAAGGAAAGGUAAGGAACAUAGAAGUGGAGGGAAGAGGAGCAAAAUGUGAACAACGAGAAGGGAGAUACAUGUAGGAGAGGAGAGGGGAGUGAGUGGACAGGGAGGGAUAGAGAUUCAAUUAUCGCUGCCAUUCCCUAUAUGAUUGGCACUUCUGAGGGGAAUAGGACAUUAUAUCUUGACAGUCAAUUGUAUGAUAGUUGAAUAGGGUUGAUGGAGAUGGAUGAAUGUAUUAAGAGAAAAGCAAUUAGGAGUGGUUUGGUAGAUGAAUGGAUUAAGUUCUAUGAAGUGGUGGGAAUAGGGGUUAGGAAUAGCUGGAUAAUGUUUAAUAAGAUAGAUAAACAGGCUGGGUCUCUCUCUCUCUCUCUCUCUCUCUCUCUCUCUCUCUCUCUCUCUCUCUCUCUCUCUCUCUCUCUCUCUUUCUCUCUCUCUCUUUCUCUCUCUCUCUCUCUCUGUCUCUCUCUCUCUGUCUCAGAUAACUGAGUGAAGGUUAUAAUGACAUGCUGAUUGGGUGGAGUAGGCAAGGAGUGUGUGUGGAGGGAGGGAGGGAGGGAGGCAGCGUGGAUAACAACUGAAGACUGAACGAGAUGAACCAACUUGGCUUUGUCAAUGCUUGUAAACAUUGAUUGUAUAAACUUUAUAAACCUGUCAGUAAUCUUAGUAAACUCUUAAUAAACAUGUUAAACUUUCAUUAUUUAACUUUAAAACUUCAUACAUUUUCAUG